AUAUCACUACCCAGUUCCGCAUCAUUUCCUAAAAUGAUGAUCUCAUUAUUAACUAUUCUCGCAAAACCGCUCCACAUAACCGUUAACCAUUGGCCGUUGAGGAGGCAUAUUCUCAAAGGAACCAUAUCUACUGCUGUGUUAAUGGGGGCGUGGCUUGGUAAUACGCCAAUUUGGACACUAUUAGUGGAUAAAAUGAUUUCUUUCACUUCACAAUCCCAAAAAAUUCGCUUACGAGUCAAUACAUAA
rnacentral:rRNA from 1 species